GGGUAACAAACCAACAGACUACUAUACCCGUGGCCGCCCACGCGCCUCGGGUAAUAAUUAAUAAUUAAUAAUUAUUGUACCAGGUGUCAUACAGUACACAGGGGAGCAUCUGUACAAUGUAAUUGCACAGCUAUUGUAUUGUACCAGGGUGUCAUACAGUACACAGGGGAGCAUCUGUACAAUGUAAUUGCACAGCUAUUGUAUUGUACCAGGUGUCAUACAGUACACAGGGGAGCAUCUGUACAAUGUAAUUGCACAGCUAUUGUAUUGUACCAGGUGUCAUACAGUACACAGGGGAGCAUCUGUACAAUGUAAUUGCACAGCUAUUGUAUUGUACCAGGUGUCAUACAGUACACAGGGGAGCAUCUGUACAUGUAAUUGCACAGCUAUUGUAUUGUGCCAGGUGUCAUACAGUACACAAGGGAGCAUCUGUGAGCAUCUGUACAAUGUAAUUGCACAGCUAUUGUAUAAUAAUUAUUGUGCCAAUUGUACCAGGGUACCGGGUGUCAUACAGUACACAGGGGGAGUAUCCCCUCUGGCUCCAACCCCCCCCCCCCUAAAAUUUGCAUUCAGGUAUUAGUAAUUGACUGAGUAUCCAUAGCCUGUAUACUAACCAGGGUAUUGAAAUAACAUGCAGUUGACUUUUUUUUUAAGAAUGCCUUAUAUUUUCCCGCUCUACUUUAAAAUCCUGGUUGUCAUACAGGAUUUUAAACUCACAGUUCUUUACUGUGAGACUACUCUGGUCCCGGUGAAUGUCUGGAGCGCUAUAGCUAUUCGUUAACACAUAAAGCUUAGUUUCAUUGCAUGCAUGUCUGACCAAGAACCACUGCUGUUUUCAACUGUACUUGUCAUAGCGUACGUUGCACUAUUAUUGUAUAGAUGCAGUAAGCGGUCAAUAUAAGUUCCGUUUAUGUAGUACGCCAGUACGUUUACACUGUAUUAAAAGCGUUGCAAUUUACCAUUGCACAUUGCAAGUAUACAUUUUGCAAAAAAAACAAACAAAGAGACAAUCCUAGUCACCUCGAGUAUCGUAGCUAGACUAGUUACUUAGCUAUAUGCUGUACAUACUUGAUGCUAUGUUUCAAUAUAAUUAUUGAUUUAUAAUUAUUGUACAUACUAGAUCUACUGCUUUUCACGUGUAUAUACAUUAUAGUUGUGAGACGCCAACUGCCCGGAGGGAAACCACGCCAUUCGCAAAAAUAUGCCUACUUCCCUCUCACGUCUAAAGUUCUUUCAAAAUGGUGGUCGUACUUUUUUGAAGGAUGAUGUUGAAAGUGACACGUGUUGGAGAGAGCAUUAUACUGGACACCCUUGUAUGACCAGACCACUGUAAAGUAUCGACACAAUUGGAGGUGAUGCUGAGAAGUCAAAGGCAGUAUCUUGCAAUUGCAGUGAACUGAGUGCAGACUUGCAUGUUAAAAGAAACCUUUCACUUUUGUAUAAUCCUUAUCGUUUGUUUAGAUACAAUUUUAAUACUGAAUUGAUGUAUUGUUGUUUUUAAUG